rnacentral:rRNA from 1 species
AUUGAACGCUGGCGGCAGGCCUAACACAUGCAAGUCGAACGGUAACAGGAAGAAGCUUGCUUCUUUGCUGACGAGUGGCGGACGGGUGAGUAAUGUCUGGGAAACUGCCUGAUGGAGGGGGAUAACUACUGGAAACGGUAGCUAAUACCGCAUAACGUCGCAAGACCAAAGAGGGGGACCUUCGGGCCUCUUGCCAUCGGAUGAGCCCAGAUGGGAUUAGCUAGUAGGUGGGGUAACGGCUCACCUAGGCGACGAUCCCUAGCUGGUCUGAGAGGAUGACCAGCCACACUGGAACUGAGACACGGUCCAGACUCCUACGGGAGGCAGCAGUGGGGAAUAUUGCACGAUGGGCGCAAGACUGAUGCAGCCAUGCCGCGUGUAUGAAGAAGGCCUUCGGGUUGUAAAGUACUUUCAGCGGGGAGGACGGGAGUAAAGUUAAUACCUUUGCUCAUUGACGUUACCCGCAGAAGAAGCACCGGCUAACUCCGUG